UCCCAGGAGGUGGGCCAGGGGACCCAGAGCGUUCUGGUAUCUGGGUUAGACCCUGAUCUGCCGCGGAGCUUCGGAGCUCGGUGUUCACGCAACCUGACUCCGUUCUCCGGAAGAGGAAAGAGGCUCAGAGAGCACCCACGCAGCUUCUGAGAGGCCACGCCAGCCCUGCUCUGCAAGUCUGCUUCCACUGCCAAGAUUUCAGGAAUCUCCUUAUUUGUUUUACCCAAGUCGGAAACGUGCAUCGCAGCUUUGGAUUGUGAGGAACCCAGUGACGGCGAGAAGAGAGGGUGAAACCAACGGAAUGGUCCCCAGAUCCAGCUCCCCGGGAAAGAGUCCUGCACCCCCUUCCCUGGCGGCUCCCCGCACCUCCUCCCACCCACACGGUUGGAAAACAUCCGACUUACUAUGAUACACUCUGUGCACGGGACAGCGGUCAGAGGAGGGAUGUUACGUGGCAGAAGCUGUGAAGCCCAUAUUGCGACGCUGGGAGCGCCGAGCCGGUUUGCGAGGACGCAGGAAGCACGUGGAAAAGUUUGUCAUUUGUGUUAAACGUGGCAAAAAGAAACCAAUAUAGAGGGAACCCGACUUCGCCUCCGGGGGGGCUGGCAGUCACGUGAGCAGACAGCUUAGCAGCACGCACUUACCUCAUUAUUGAUCAUAUAUUUACAAAUCCAAGAAAGAAAAAAUUUAAAAAGCCAACAGAACUCCCAAAUAACCCAAACCAUAUUCACAGCAACAGCCUUUGAGUUCCGUCAAAACCCUCCGUAUCAGAAUGACUGCCCCCAAUUGGGUAAUAAACCAAAUCGCUUUGUGCUUAGAGACGGAAAGAACGGGAAGGAGGGAGAGUCUGUUUUAAAAUAACUAAAAAAACACCCGCCCCCAAAGUCGGCAGUUUUAGAUUAUUCCAACCCACAAGUGGUUCUACUCUGACCUUCUAUAAAGCUUGCUCGGACUGUUGAAAAAAG
rnacentral:lncRNA from 1 species